GCGGCCCUACGGGGCGCAGCAGUGAGGAAUAUUGGUCAAUGGACGAGAGUCUGAACCAGCCAAGUAGCGUGAAGGAUGACUGCCCUAUGGGUUGUAAACUUCUUUUAUAUGGGAAUAAAAUGUUCCACGUGUGGGAUUUUGUAUGUACCAUAUGAAUAAGGAUCGGCUAACUCCGUGCCAGCAGCCGCGGUAAUACGGAGGAUCCGAGCGUUAUUCGGAUUUAUUGGGUUUAAAGGGAGCGUAGGUGGAUUGUUAAGUCAGUUGUGAAAGUUUGCGGCUCACCCGUAAACUUGCCGUUGAAACUG
rnacentral:rRNA from 1 species